rnacentral:rRNA from 1 species
UACGUAGGUGGCAAGCGUUGUCCGGAAUUAUUGGGCGUAAAGCGCGCGCAGGCGGUCCUUUAAGUCUGAUGUGAAAGCCCACGGCUCAACCGUGGAGGGUCAUUGGAAACUGGGGGACUUGAGUGCAGAAGAGGAGAGUGGAAUUCCACGUGUAGCGGUGAAAUGCGUAGAGAUGUGGAGGAACACCAGUGGCGAAGGCGACUCUCUGGUCUGUAACUGACGCUGAGGCGCGAAAGCGUGGGGAGCAAACAGGG